rnacentral:rRNA from 1 species
GACAGAGGUGCCAAGCGUUAGGCGGAAUCACUGGGCUUAAAGCGUGUGUAGGCGGCUCGUUAAGUGUCUUGUGAAAUCCCACGGCUCAACCGUGGAACUGCUCGACAUACUGGCGAUCUUGAGCAACCUAGGGGCGAGCGGAACAAAUGGUGGAGCGGUGAAAUGCGUAGAUAUCAUUUGGAACGCCAAUGGUGAAAACAGCUCGCUGGGGGUUUGCUGACGCUGAGACACGAAAGCCAGGGGAGCGAACGGG